CCUCGGGGGGCUGCAGUGGGGAAUAUUGGACAAUGGGCGAAAGCCUGAUCCAGCCAUGCCGCGUGUGUGAAGAAGGCCUUCGGGUUGUAAAGCACUUUCAGUGGGGAAGAAAGCCUUGGGGCUAAUACCCUCGAGGAAGGACAUCACCCACAGAAGAAGCACCGGCUAACUCCGUACCAGCAGCCGCGGUAAUACGGAGGGUGCGAGCGUUAAUCGGAAUUACUGGGCGUAAAGCGCGCGUAGGCGGUCUGAUAAGCCGGUUGUGAAAGCCCCGGGCUCAACCUGGGAACGGCAUCCGGAACUGUCAGGCUAGAGUGCAGGAGAGGAAGGUAGAAUUCCCGGUGUAGCGGUGAAAUGCGUAGAGAUCGGGAGGAAUACCAGUGGCGAAGGCGGCCUUCUGGACUGACACUGACGCUGAGGUGCGAAAGCGUGGGUAGCAAACAGGAUUAGAUACCCUAGUAGUC
rnacentral:rRNA from 1 species